rnacentral:rRNA from 1 species
GACGAACGCUGGCGGCGUGCUUAACACAUGCAAGUCGAACGGAAAGGCCCUGCUUUUGUGGGGUGCUCGAGUGGCGAACGGGUGAGUAACACGUGAGUAACCUGCCCUUGACUUUGGGAUAACUUCAGGAAACUGGGGCUAAUACCGGAUAGGAGCUCCUGCUGCAUGGUGGGGGUUGGAAAGUUUCGGCGGUUGGGGAUGGACUCGCGGCUUAUCAGCUUGUUGGUGGGGUAGUGGCUUACCAAGGCUUUGACGGGUAGCCGGCCUGAGAGGGUGACCGGCCACAUUGGGACUGAGAUACGGCCCAGACUCCUACGGGAGGCAACAGUGGAGAAUAUUGCACAAUGGGCGGAAGCCUGAUGCAACAACGCCGCGUGCGGGAUGACGGCCUUCGGGUUGUAAACCGCUUUCGCCUGUGACGAAGCGUGAGUGACGGUAAUGGGUAAAGAAGCACCGGCUAACUACGUG